AAAGCUCCACCACUUGGUAGCUUUCAGGCGCAAUGUGUGUUUUAUUCAGGCUGACAAUGUGUUUUACACAUUGUACCUGAAAACUACCGAGUGCUGGGGCUUUAUUU